UACGAAGGGGGCUAGCGUUGUUCGGAAUUACUGGGCGUAAAGCGUGCGCAGGCGGCUUCUCAAGUCAGGGGUGAAAGCCCAGAGCUCAACUCUGGAAUUGCCUUUGAAACUGUAUGGCUUGAGUAUGAGAGAGGUGAGUGGAAUUCCCAGUGUAGAGGUGAAAUUCGUAGAUAUUGGGAAGAACACAGGUGGCGAGGGCGGCUCACUGGCUCAUUACUGACGCUCAGGCGCGACAGCGUGGGGAUCAAACAGG
rnacentral:rRNA from 1 species